GGGCCUGUAGCUCAAUUGGUAGAGCGCACCCUUCGCAUGGGUGAGGUAGCCGGUUCGACCCCGGCCAGGUCCA
rnacentral:tRNA from 1 species